rnacentral:rRNA from 1 species
CGCUCGUAGUUGGACGUUUGCGUUGGCGAUCUGGUUCGCCGGAGGGCGGGACGCAUGUGGGGCGGAGGCAACCUGGGGCCCCUUGUUACUGUGAAGAAAUUAGAGUGUUUAAAGCGGGCGUUUGCUUGAUACGCGAGCAUGGAAUAACGGCAGUUUGUCGUUGGUCAGGACAAGAUGAUUGAUAGGGACAGGCGGGGGCAUUUGUAUUUGGCAGUCAGAGGUGAAAUUCUUGAAUUUGGCAAAGACGAACUAGUGCAAAGGCAUUUGCCAAGGAUGUUUUCAUUAAUCAAGAACGAAAGUUGGGGGAUCGAAGACGAUCAGAUACCGUCGUAGUCUCAACAGUAAACGAUGCCGACUGAGGAUCGGGGGGCGUCCGUUGGACCCUCCCGGGGCUCUGGGAGAAAUCAAAGUUUUUGGGUUCUGGGGGGAGUAUGGUCGCAAGGCUGAAACUUGAAGGAAUUGACGGAAGGCACCACCAGGAGUGGAGCCUGCGUUUAAUUUGACUCAACACGGGAAAACUCACCAGGUCCGGACAUGGUAAGGAUUGACAGAUUGAUAGCUCUUUCAAGAUUCUGUGGUGGUGGGGCAUGGCCGUUCUUAGUUGGUGGAGUGAUUUGUCUGGUUAAUUCCGAUAACGAACGAAACCUUGAUUGGAGUUUUGGGGGGUCUUCCUUGGAAGGGCCUUUGAGAACCAAGACAUACUGCGUGUAGCAC